rnacentral:rRNA from 1 species
CCGGUGAGUGAAGAAGGCCUUCGGGUUGUAAAGCCUUUUGUCAGGAAAGAAACACCGGCUCUAACACAGUCCGGGAAUGACGGUACCUGAAGAAUAAGCACCGGCUAACUACGUGCCAGCAGCCGCGGUAAUACGUAGGGUGCGAGCGUUAAUCGGAAUUACUGGGCGUAAAGCGUGCGCAGGCGGUUAUACAAGACAGGCGUGAAAUCCCCGGGCUUAACCUGGGAAUGGCGCCUGUGACUGUAUAGCUAGAGUGUGUCAGAGGGGGGUAGAAUUCCACGUGUAGCAGUGAAAUGCGUAGAUAUGUGGAGGAAUACCAAUGGCGAAGGCAGCCCCCUGGGAUAACACUGACGCUCAUGCACGAAAGCGUGGGGAGCAAACAGGAUUAGAUACCCUGGUAGUCCACGCCCUAAACGAUGCUGACUAGUUGUUCGGGAUUUACAUCCUGAGUAACGUAGCUAACGCGUGAAGUCAGCCGCCUGGGGAGUACGGUCGCAAGAUUAAAACUCAAAGGAAUUGACGGGGACCCGCACAAGCGGUGGAUGAUGUGGAUUAAUUCGAUGCAAAGCG